GAAAUGCGAUACUUGGUGUGAAUUGCAGAAUCCCGUGAACCAUCGAGUCUUUGAACGCACAUUGCGCCCCCUGGUAUUCCGGGGGGCAUGCCUGUCCGAGCGUCAUUACUGCCCUCAAGCCCGGCUUGUAUUGGGUCCUCGUCCCCCCGGGGACGGGCCCGAAAGGCAGCGGCGGCACCGCGUCCGGUCCUCGAGCGUAUGGGGCUUUGUCACCCGCUCUGUAGGCCCGGCCGGCGCCAGCCCACGCAGAUCAUCCUUUUUUUUCAGGUUGACCUCGGAUCAGGUAGGGAUACCCGCUGAACUUAA
rnacentral:misc_RNA from 1 species